GCCGACUUAGCUCAGCAGGCAGAGCACUUCCAUGGUAAGGAAGGGGUCGCCGGUUCGAUUCCGGCAGUCGGCU
rfam:Synergistales bacterium 54_24 S_scaffold_107, whole genome shotgun sequence.